rnacentral:rRNA from 1 species
UACAGAGGGUGCAAGCGUUAAUCGGAAUUACUGGGCGUAAAGCGUGCGUAGACGGCUAUUUAAGUCAGGUGUGAAAGCCCCGGGCUCAACCUGGGAAUUGCAUUUGAGACUGAAUAGCUAGGGUGCGGAAGAGGGAAGCGGAAUUUCCGGUGUAGCGGUGAAAUGCGUAGAUAUCGGAAGGAACACCAGUGGCGAAAGCGGCUUCCUGGUCCAGCACCGACGUUCAGGCACGAAAGCGUGGGGAGCAAACAGG